GGGACUGUGUGCACACACAGGUUCUGUGUUUGUUCUUUAUACACAAACCUCACACAGUUCUGUCUUGUUCAAUUUGAAACAGUGGUUGAUCAUAUGAGAAGCCAAGAGUAACAGUUGGAUUAUUUGAGAAGCCACAUAUGAACAGAUCGUGCAUUCAAACUGCUAGUUCCAAGGGUUCUUAAGUGCAAGACAGAUCAUAAGUGACAACCAUUCAUCGCUAAUGCUGAGGGUUGGAUGCAAAUAGCCAAGUCACCAACAGUAUAAUAAAUAGCCCAACAACUGAUCAACAAGUUUAGGUUUGUGUUUUUGGUCAUUCUCAAUCACAGAACAGGACCCAAUUCGAAAGGAUUUGGUUGUUUCAUUGUUUAUCUGUGUUUGUGAUUUCGUGGACUAGAACAGCAGCCCAGGUGAGAUAAAGGGUCAUCGAGAGAAGACUGCAUCAUCAGAUCUGUAUUGAUGCAUGCUGAAAACAGGUUUUGUAAACUGUCUUGGUCUUGCUGUUAGAAGUCUGAAACAGAAGCAGGUUUGAUAGUCAAAAUUGGUUACAUUUUAGCUAAACAGGUACAUUGUUUUAACCUUGUGCAUUAUCUGUGCUUGUGAACUUAAGGACUGGAACAGACUUGGCUAUAUUGUUCAAGCUAGCAGCCUAACUGUGUUAUUGAUUUGACUGUUCAACUAUUUUUGUGUCAGGUAAAUCAAAGUACAUUUUGGAAGGUUUUAAGGCAUAGCAAGGAUUGGGUUUGGAUAGAUUUAAAAGAUUUGAAAGCCUGCUGAAUUGGCUUUGCUUUCUGGGAUUAAAAAACAAGUCACAGCAUCCCAAGUGAAGUAACUGAUACGAAAAGCAUUCAAGUGGACUUUUGGACAGAAUUUCGAGAUUUAACAUUUUUUUUAGUUCCACAUCUGUAUUGUAAAGAGUUGCUAUU